rnacentral:rRNA from 1 species
AUCUAAAGUUAGGAAUCUUAUAAAUAUUUAUUAUAAGUUUAAAUACGAAUCUAACUAAGAGUGUCGUCCAAAUGCUGUCAGUUGUAGUGGGAAUACAACAUAUAUGGCUAUUAAAUUACCAAACUCCGGGGAACCCCUAAAGGUUAUGAUACCAAGCCAUAGUCUAAAGAUUAUGAGUGGCUGAAUUAAUUACUCAGGUAGGGUAACAAGUCAUAACNUGAUUGAAAAUGAAAUGGGAUAUCGCGGAUCUAAAUCAUCUGCAUCUAAGAUAAAUAAUGAAUUAACAGCUGCAGGUGUAAAAGAGCAACGAGUAGAUGGUAAUUGGUGUUUUCUUAAAGCAAGAAAAUGUUUAAGGUAUACUCUAAUGGGUCUCGAAAGAGAUUAUCAAGUCGGAAUCCCUUCUAAACAAUUAGCUAAAAUAUUUUAUUCUACUAGUGAUAAUACAACAUUAACAAUAAAUCCUUAAUUUAUUACAGGUUUUACAGAUGCUGAAGGAAGUUUUACUGUCACAAUUUAUCCAGAUAGUUCUAUGAAUACCGGUAUUAGAGUCAAUGCUGAAUUUAAAAUAGGCUUGAACGAGCGAGAUAAGAAUUUAUUACUUCAAAUUCAACAAUUUUUUGGAGGAAUAGGUAAAAUAAAUUAUAAUUAUUCAACUAAGGCAAUAAUAUAUAGAGUAUAUAAAAAAGAUGAUUUGUUAAAUGUUAUUAUUCCACACUUUAUGAAUUAUCCUCUCUUGAGUCAAAAAUCAACAGAUUUUAAAUUAUUUGUGCGAAUACUUCACUUAAUAAAUGAAGGUGCUCAUUUAAAUGAAAUCGGUUUACAAGAGAUAGUUAAUAUUAAUGCCCUCUAGAGGUAAAGUUAUUUCCNNNNNNNNNNNNNNNNNNNNNNNNNNNNNNNNNNNNNNNNNNNNNNNNNNNNNNNNNNNNNNNNNNNNNNNNNNNNNNNNUUUUGAUGCUGGAAUUCGAAAAGCCACAGAUACUAGAAAAGACAGAGUAUAUUUAAGAUUUAGAGUUACUCAACAUAGUAGAGAUAUCCAGUUAAUGGAAUUACUCAUAAAGUAUUUAGAAGCUGGAAGAAUUGAAUGAGAUAAGAGAAAUGAAAGUUCUAUUGUGAGUUUAGUAGUAGGUAACUUUUCAGAUAUCAAUAAUAAAAUAAUACCUUUCUUUAAUAAAUAUAAGAUUGAUGGUAUUAAAUAUUAUGAUUUUUUAGAUUGAGUAAAAAUUGCUGAAUUAAUAAGAUUNGGAAAAAAUCAAACUCCUGAAGGAAUGGAUGAACUAAAACUAAUAGAAACUAAAAUGAAUAGAGGUAGAAAAUAAUAAAAUAAUCAAAUANUCAAAUAAUAAAAUAAUCAAAUAAUAAAAUCCCAAAAUUAGCAAUUGUAUGACAAAUCCGAUAACCAUGGGUGCCAGAAGACUCGGUAAUACCAGAGACGCGAACGUUAAUCAUCUUUAAUGGGCAUAAAGGGUUUGUAGGCGGCUUAUUUAUUAAUAGGCUAGAAUCUUAGAGAGGUUAAUAAAAUACUUAGAGUAGGGCUGAUAUCCUUAGAUCCUAAGUGGAAUCCUAAUUGCGAAGGCCAUUAACCACUACAGAUUGACGCUGAAAACGAAGGUUAGGAUAGGAACUAGGAUUAGAGACCCUAUUACCCCUAACUGUAAACGAUGAAUGGCAGAUAUUUACAAUCUGUAAGUGUCGAAGUGAAUACGAUAACCAUUCCGCCUUGCCAGUAUACUUGCAAAAGUGAAAACAAAAAAAUUA